rnacentral:misc_RNA from 1 species
GAUGAAGAACGCAGCGAAAUGCGAUUCGUAAUGUGAAUUGCAGAAUUCAGUGAAUCAUCGAAUCUUUGAACGCAUAUUGCGCUCUUUGGUAUUCCGAAGAGCAUGCUUGUUUGAGUAUCAGUAAACACCUCAAAGCUUUUGGAUUUUUUAAUCGAAAAGCUUUGGACUUGAGCAAUCCCAACACCAAUCUUUUUGAGAUCGGUGGCGGGUUGCUUGAAAUGCAGGUGCAGCUGGACAUUCUCCUGAGCUAAAAGCAUAUUCAUUUAGUCCCGUCAAACGGAUUAUUACUUUUGCUGCAGCUAACAUAAAGGGAGUUUGACCGUAUUGGCUGACUGAUGCAGGAUUUCACAAGGGUCGGCAACGAUUCUUGUUAAACUCGAUCCCAAAUCAAGUAAGACUACCCGCUGAACUUAAGCAUAUCAAUAAGCGGAGGA